GGCGCAUCAUGACAUGGUGUGAGUCCUUCGGCUACAACACAGGACCCGGGCGCUGCUCUGACCCCUCGUGUCUUGUGUUGCAGCCGGAGGGACACAGGCUUGCA
rnacentral:pre_miRNA from 10 species